GACAGAGGCCCCCGAGCGUUAGGCGGAAUCACUGGGCUUAAAGCGUGUGUAGGCGGACUUCUAAGUAUCUUGUGAAAAUCCCACGGCUCACCCCGUGGAACUGCUGGAUAUACUGGGAGUCUUGAGUCGUGCAGGGGGCAGCCGGAACAAGCGGUGGAGCGGUGAAAUGCGUAGAUAUCAAGUGGAACACCAGUGGCGAAGGCGAGUCCCUGGACAUUUCCUGACACUGAGGCACGAAAGCUAGGGGAGCAAACAGG
rnacentral:rRNA from 1 species